AAAAUAUAGUGUAUGUUUUAUUCACUGAAUAUAUAUCACAUGCACACAGCGAGGAAUCCCGCAUAUGGUAUGUCUGUUAUACAAGCUCCUAAUGAUGCAGCCAGUGUCCAAUCAAAUGAUGAGCACACAUAUGAACAUAUUCGAGAUUACGAAAAUAUCUAUCCUGGCAACAACAGGAAUUAAUGAUAUCGAUCAACACAGCCCACAGAGUGAGACUAUAUUAUAAUAAUUAUCAUAGAACUGAAUGUAAACUACGUAUAAAAUUUCCUGCUAAUAAUCGUUUUAGUUUUUUUGUAUAUACCAGCAGUCAUUGUGUGUUAUUAGUUUUGAAUGAUAAAUGAACAUUUUAUGCUGAUCUGAUCUAUAGUUCAGAGUUUGAUUCUGAGGGUGGUGCUCUGUUACUAGUAGCAUGAGCAUACAAGUGUUCCCUGUCCAUCAGGUGGUGGUUUGUUAGAGGGGGCGAGAUAAUCUACUAACCCUAGUAACCCUGGUAACCCCUCACCCACCCCCUCCAGUGACCACCUGCUCCUGUCUACUGAGUGUACUGCUCACUGUGUGUCUGGCACUGAUGCUCAUAUUAUAGAGUCUGAAUUAACAUAAUUAUUUAUUUUCCUCUGCUUCCUUAAUAUGCUAUAUUCAUGCAUGGGUGCAUGGUUUGUGUGUGGGUGUUAUUCAAACUGUAUGUGUGGCCUUAAUGUGUGGCAGAGGGUGUGUGGUGGAUUGAGAUUGCUGUGUUUACCAUGCACUCUCUUCAUAGUCAAAUCUGAUUGCACAAUUAAGUCUGUCCAUUCUAAGAAGCACUGGUGUGUACAUACAUGUACUGAUAGCUAUGAAGUGCUGCAUGUAUUGUCUAUGGUAA